UACGGAGGGUGCAAACGUUGCUCGGAAUCAUUGGGCGUAAAGCGCACGUAGGCGGUCGGCUAUGUCGGAUGUGAAAGCCUCGGGCUUAACCCGAGAAGGGCAUCCGAAACUGGCCGGCUUGAGUACGGAAGAGGGUCUCGGAAUUCCCGGUGUAGAGGUGAAAUUCGUAGAUAUCGGGAGGAACACCGGUGGCGAAGGCGGCAUCCU
rnacentral:rRNA from 1 species